GGGGCGUUAGCUCAGCUGGGAGAGCACCUGCUUUGCAAGCAGGGGUCACCGGUUCGAUCCCGGUACGCUCCACCA
rnacentral:tRNA from 1 species